rnacentral:rRNA from 1 species
AGUGAACGCUGGCGGCGUGCCUAACACAUGCAAGUCGAACGGGCUAGUGCUUCGCACUAGUCUCUUUCUGGGGUUGCUACUCUAAGGCUACCUGCUAAAGUUAUUGCUUUAAAGCAGGGGUUUUUAGGGGACCUUCCCCAAAAAGGGGCCAGUGCGGAGCACUGGCCAGUGGCGAACGGGUGAGUAACACGUGGGUAAUCUACCCUCGAGUGGGGAAUAAGCUUCCGAAAGGAGGUCUAAUGCCGCAUAACGUUUCAUAACGAUGGUUAUGAAACCAAAGCCCAAAAGGCGCUCGAGGAGGAGCCUGCGUCCUAUCAGCUUGUUGGCAGGGUAAUGGCCUACCAAGGCUAUGACGGGUAGCCGGCCUGAGAGGGUGUCCGGCCACACUGGAACUGAGACACGGUCCAGACUCCUACGGGAGGCAGCAGUGGGGAAUUUUGCGCAAUGGAGGGAACUCUGAUGCAGCGACGCCGCGUGAGUGAAGAAGGUCUUCGGAUCGUAAACUCUGUCCUUGGU